rnacentral:antisense_RNA from 1 species
GGAGGGCCCAGGGUCCUUUGAGCUCCUAGAGGUCCCGUGUGGAAACAUCUGGAAGAGGUAGGAUCCCCUCGCGAGUUUACCCUGGACGUGUGGCGAAUAAAGUUAAGCAUUUUUAACAGUGAUCACCAGAACCCACCUUUGGAUGCUGCAGCAUAAAGUCCACGGCUUCUUCAAAGUACUCCAGAUGUACACCAUUCAGAUCUUCGGGGAGGUCUUCAAAUCUGAAAUAAGCCAGGGCAAGCACAGCAAAACCAUGUCCGGCCAGGAGGCUGGCCCUGUAUUCACAAAGGCCCCCGCCGCUCCCAAACAGAUCAAUGAUCCCAGGAAAGGGCCCCUUGCCUGGAGAACAUCACAAAUCACAAGGAGCUUUAGAUUCCCAAAAGACAGUAAGCAAACAAGUUUUUGAAGCCAAGGAGAUUGGGGGUAGAGAGAUUGGCAGAGAAAGAACAAAAUGUCUUAUUUUCUCAAACAAUAAUAAUAAUAUAGAGGGAUAAAAAACUACAUAUUGGGUGCAAUGUAUACUACUCAGGUGACAAGUGCACUAAAAUCUCAGUGUUCAUCACUGUAUAGUUCAUCCGUGUAACCCCAAACCACUUGUACACCAAAAGGUAUUGAAAUUAAAAAAAAAU